UACGGAGGGUGCGAGCGUUAAUCGGAAUUACUGGGCGUAAAGGGUGCGUAGGUUGUUUAGUAAGUUAUCUGUGAAAUCCCUGGGCUUAACCUGGGACGGUCAGAUAAAACUGUUAAACUAGAGUAUAGGAGAGGGUAGUGGAAUUUCCGGUGUAGCGGUGAAAUGCGUAGAGAUCGGAAAGAACACCAGUGGCGAAGGCGGCCUUCUGGACAGUGACUGACGCUGAGACGCGAAAGCGUGGGGAGCAAACAGG
rnacentral:rRNA from 1 species